CCCGCUGAACUUAAGCAUAUCAAUAAGCGGAGGAAAAGAAACUAACAAGGAUUCCCCUAGUAACGGCGAGUGAAGAGGGAAGAGCUCAAAUUUUGAAUCUGGCGUCUCUGGCGUCCGAAUUGUAAUCUAGAGAAGUGUUUUCCGUGACGGACCGUGCACAAGUCUCCUGGAAUGGAGCGUCAUAGAGGGUGAGAAUCCCGUAUAUGGCAUGGACUCCCGUUGCUCUGUGAUACACUCUCGACGAGUCGAGUUGUUUGGGAAUGCAGCUCUAAAUGGGUGGUAAAUGCCAUCUAAAGCUAAAUAUUGGCGAGAGACCGAUAGCGAACAAGUACCGUGAGGGAAAGAUGAAAAGCACUUUGGAAAGAGAGUGACACAGUACGUGAAAUUGUUGAAAGGGAAACGCUUGAAGUCAGUCGCGCCGUUCGGGAUUCAGCCUUGCUUCUGCUCGGUUUACUUCCCGUUGGGUGGGUCAACAUCAGUUUCGAUCGGAGGAGAAAGGCCUGGGGAAGGUAGCAGCAUUCGUGCUGUGUUAUAGCCCCUUGUUGUAUACUUCGAUUGGGACUGAGGAUCGCAGCACGCCUCUGGCCGGGGUUCGCCCACGUACGUGCUUAGGAUGUUGGCAUAAUGGCUUUAAGCGACCCGUCUUGAAACACGGACCAAGGAGUCUAACAUGUGCGCGAGUGUUUGGGUGUUAAACUCGGACGCGAAAUGAAAGUGAAAAGUUGGGAACACUUAUGUGUGCACCGACGCCCGGAGCUGACCUUCUGUGACGCAUCUGCGGUAGAGCGUAUAUGUUGGGACCCGAAAGAUGGUGAACUAUGCCUGAAUAGGGUGAAGCCAGAGGAAACUCUGGUGGAGGCUCGUAGCGAUUCUGACGUGCAAAUCGUAUCGUCANAUUUGGG
rnacentral:rRNA from 1 species